UACUAUUGUUCGGUUGAGAAUCAAAGUCAUUAAAACAAAAAGAUGCGUGCCUUUUUGCUUAUCGCGGUUUGUCUUGCGGUGAUCUCCACCCUGUUUGGAAGCGUUGAGAUGGCAACUGAGAAAAAGGUGGCGGAACGUUCUGCUCCACUAGCGUAUUAAUCAAGCCAAUUCGCGAAGGUUUAAUAUCCGGUUUGAAAAGUGCCCCAGAAAUGAGUGGUAACAAUUUGAUAUUUGUAACGGGUACAUAAAGUCGAAGCAAUAUUAUUUAUUUAUUUCUCUACCUUUAUCAAACGAUUCAUUCAUUUCUUCCAUUGUUAAUAAUAAGCCUAAUAUAAAUUCAAUAUUAUUUUUGCAAACGGUUCGAACAUGCCAAUAGAAAUUUUGCCCUUAUUAAAACGACUCAAGACAAGAACGAAACAAACACCUAAUAUCAUUUGAAGCACCACCCCAGUCAUCAAUCAUUAAAUAACACAUCUGAGUGACCGACACAAUUCUGGCGGCAAGCACGUGACUUUAGAUGCUAUCUUCUGUAGGCCACCGACCACUUUCUUAUUUUGGCGUCAGGUGAAUGACCUCUUUCGGGGGCUUUUGUGCACUUAUUUUGGCUAAGCAAAAGUUGGGCCUCUUUUAUUCGGGUCCAGAAGGGGAAGACGAGGACUACUCGAAGAAUUCGCGAAAUGGGAUCUAAUUGUUUGACUUCGCGGUGCGACUUGUUCGUAUCGGGUAGUUCCGGUUGCGAAGUCAAGCUAGAUCAGGUCGAUCAGCGGACGAUUGAGACUCCAAGCUCACUUACGUCCGGUGAUUAGUAGAGUCAGGAUCAAGUAGUGUUCAUUAUUCAAAGUCGACAGGUAACCAAAGUUCAGUGUGUGAUUCCGAGACUAGGUUCCCUUAUCUAAAUAGCCCUCUUUUUUCGCAUUAGUCUGUGUCAGGUGAAAGACAGCUUAGGGAAGUGCAGUGCAAAAAAGUGGUGCAUUUACUAGUAGGUAGGUGGAGACCCAAAUGGGCCAAAUUUACAAUCCACACCGCCAAAAUGCGCGACAUGUAUUUAACCCGACCACCAGCCACAGGUACGCACACCCACCGCAGCUUACACCCUAGAAGACGGUCGCCGGGCCCGUCGCGAACCCGCGGGGUCCCGCAACAGCAACAGCACAUCCCGCCAGUUUCUCCUAGCCACAUUGGAACACGACACCAAAGUCGCUUGCACCACGAGGAGCCGACAGCAGGUCGGUCGGCGGCUGAUAGACGUACCCAGAUUCGCCGGACGAUCCACCAAGCCAAAACCGUAUCUCAUUCAACCAAGCUUCCAGCAGGCCACGCUACAUAGCUGCGCAAAUGCUAUGCGGUGACCGGCCGAACAAAAAAGGUUCUAAUCACCCCGUCUUAGCUACCUGCAUAGUCCUCGACCAGCUAACAUCGGCCGGGAGAACGAUAGGUAGCCGCAAAGGAGCGACUGAACGUGGUAAGACUACUAAGUCCCGCCAACAGCUAGCAAUUCGAGUGAGUACUGAUAGCAAACCCACCCAUAUUCUCUAGUGAUUGUUAUACCUGAUAUGUUUUCGCAGUUUUUUACCGUCUCUUUUAAGCCGGAUAAACAAAGUGUUUUUCGCACUUUCUGGCGGAAAAAUCGCGUUUUUCGGACUGGCGAGCCGACGAAAGUAGCCUUUUCACCACCCACGCGGUGGAAAUAUCGAAAAACCAAAUGAAAAUCAAAUGAUUUUUCAAAGCAAAAUCGCUAAGUAAUUUAGCAACAAUCAAGCAUCUCCACCAAAAAUGCACUGCUAGAUAGAAUUUCGAAAGAGGGAAAAUAGUUUAGGCCUAAACAGUAUCAUGUAAACACAACACGACACACAUGAAAAUACAAUAAAGCCAAUUAAUUAUUGUAAGCGAAAUGCGAAUGUUUGAACUAUGAAAGUCUGAUUGGGAUAACUGGAAAGGGAGUCACACGCUGUUCGUUGUUCGAGAUUUAUUUUCGUUCCUUUGCUGCGGAGAUUGGCCGCGAAUCCAAUCGAUUUCUGUCUCUUCUGGUCCAGGUAAGGGGUUUGGUCUCGUCCGAUGAUUAGCGCCCCUAGCUUGCUUUCGUAACGAACAGCUAACUCCCAUUUCCACGGAUUUCUCCCGGGUUUUGUCUCGACUUCGGGGCGGCCCUUAAGGGUCGAAGUACGGAUCCCUUUUUAGAGUCCCUUCCGCUUCUUUCCCAAAAUCGGGAAUCAAAAGGAACUCGCGACCGAGUCUCGUCAGCUGGGCAAGAUAAGAAAGGGUAGGUGGUCUUCCAAACGGAAGUGGCGCUUAAGCCACCUGCUUAAAACCGGAAGCGUAACGGGCCUCUCGUUAUAUAUUGGAAUAAAAUGAAAUAUUGAUUGUAUGAGAGAUCAUAAAUGUAAAUAUGUUUACGUAAAUAGUUGAGGAAUUGCCAAUCUUGACGAACAUGUAACUCCAGAAACCAUGUGGGAAAUGGGUUAAUAAGGUCAGAGUGUCAAACGGGACAGUUUCAACAGAAAUUCCACAAUGUUUUCGAUUAUCUAUCGGUUCGAAUUUAAGUCAGCUGGCAAUACUG